rnacentral:tRNA from 1 species
AGAAAAGUAUUUAAAGAAAGAAAAAUAAAAUCUAAUUUGCAAUUAGAAAUUGAGAUUAUCCUUUUCUA